CUCCGAGCUCACCAGAAAGCCUUUCCGGGCGGCUGUAUGAAAAUCCGGCAAUGGAAUGAUGGACGUUCCAAUCCCCAGAAAAGCUUGCUCAGCCCAUCCGAAGAGGUCACACGAUUGGAUUUCAAGCGGCAGCAGCGGUAGUUGUGGAGUUGGGGAUCAAAUUCACCGGCAAGCUUCGACUUCGCCGUUGAGACAGGGUCCUGUUUCAACUUCGACGCCUUCGCCGACACCUCCAUUGUCACCGUCGUCUUGGCGAUGAAGUCGGAGGUUUCUUCUUCCCCAAAUUUCCAGAAAACACCAAUUCAAAAUGGUGGUGGCUCUUUGCUAUAUGGUUUGGGCAGUUCAAUCAAUUCAUAAUCAGAUCCAACGGCGGAGCCGAUGAACGUGGAAUCGGAAAUCAAGCCGCCGGCGACGAAGUAAGCGCGUGGAGAUUUGGUCGGAAAGGAGGGGGAGGUGGUGGUGAGCUCACCGAAGAAGGAAUCACCUCCUUCUGCUUCUGCUGAGGACUCGAAAGCGAUGGGUGCUGAUUCUGUUACCACCAAACCGUGAGCGUUCAAAUCCAAUGAUUCAUCUUCAUAAUCUGUGUGUGUGUGUGUGUGUUUUGGAUUCACUAACUUUGCCUUUUCUUUUCUUGGAUUUGAAACUCAGAUGGUAGGUUAUUUUCAUUUUCAAUUUCAAAAUUGAAUUUUUCCUAUUA